rnacentral:rRNA from 1 species
UAACGCGAAGAACCUUACCAGGUCUUGACAUCCUUUGACCACUCUAGAGAUAGAGCUUUCCCUUCGGGGACAAAGUGACAGGUGGUGCAUGGUUGUCGUCAGCUCGUGUCGUGAGAUGUUGGGUUAAGUCCCGCAACGAGCGCAACCCUUAUUACUAGUUGCCAGCAUUAAGUUGGGCACUCUAGUGAGACUGCCGGUGACAAACCGGAGGAAGGUGGGGACGACGUCAAAUCAUCAUGCCCCCUAUGACCUGGGCUACACACGUGCUACAAUGGAUGGUACAACGAGUUGCGAGACCGCGAGGUUUAGCUAAUCUCUUAAAACCAUUCUCAGUUCGGAUUGUAGGCUGCAACUCGCCUACAUGAAGCCGGAAUCGCUAGUAAUCGCGGAUCAGCAUGCCGCGGUGAAUACGUUCCCGGGCCUUGUACACACCG